AUGGCAAAACAUCUGAUCUCCUCAGCCCAGAGCAUCCAAGAGGGGCUGGAUGGGACUAACCACCCAGAUAUCCUCAGCCCUCUUCGGGACCAGGUCCAAAGGGUUGACACUGCUAAGGGACGACCUAAUUUUUUUCUCCCCAGCCUUCAGGACUCUACAGCUCCUGCACUGAAACACCAAGGGGAAGCUGGGGUGGAGAAAAGCAAGUCCGGUACCUCCUCUCCACUGAGGGACAAUCUUUCCUGCCCCUUGAUUCCUGACAUCCAUCAACAGAGGAGGGACUCUCCACCACCAGCCACCAGCCAACUCAACCUUGCUGCAGAGAGCCAGAGCCACCAGGCAGUGACCUCAGCUAACACCAACUUGCAGGAGCAGGAUGCAGCCGUGGAUGGACCUCAGGAGGCCCUGGCUGGGGAGGGGCCGCUGGGGUCAGAGAGGAUGCUUGGACUCCAAGAAAUCCCAACACUAGCACCUUCUGUUAUUGACCUAGCGAGGGAGAUAGCACACUGCACAACUGCUAGAAGCAAUGGGCUUCUGGAAGUGACUCUCCAGCUGUCUGGGAGACUCAGGGAAACCGGCCAGGGUUUGGUGGCCAGGGCUGGUGACUGGUACCCUCUGUGUCAGCAGCUGUUUUGUCACAGCCCAGCAGUGGAUCUUCCAGGGAACAUGGCAGCGUUCAUGGAGCUGCAGCAGAACUUAGCCUCAGUGGUUCAACUAGCAGCCAAAAGUGGGCCUGUGGAUUGGGAUAAGCAGGACCCUGCCUCCACUGGGCAUCCAGAAGCACUUUUACAAAUGCAAGGCAGAUUGGAGGAGGUGGAGACCCAUUCUAAACAGCUGUUGGACAAGAUUCUGGCUUCUGAAGGCCUCCAAGCCCCUGAGUCAUGGGAGGAGAGCAUUGAGGGUGGGUGCCUUCUAUGGUCAGUGGCUGUCCAAGGCCUACUUCAGUGCAUGAAGGGACUCAGCAGGAAACAAAGCCUGUUCUUACUGCCCCUGCAACAGGCCGUGAAGGACCAGCAGGGACUGCAGGAAGGGUUGGCCCAGGCAGCAGAUGGUUCUCAGAGGCUACAAGAGGCUGCCAGGCUCUCUAGCCUCCUGUGCGGGGAUGUGCAGGUAAAAGGUGAGGUCUCCUUUUUGUGCAGGGAAAUGCACGUGCUCACAGAUGCUCUGCUGGAUGUGGCAGAAAUCCUGGCCUCCUCCCCCAAACCAUCUCCCAGCCUGUCCACACGCUUUGAACUUCUCUGCUUGGAGCUCUCCUUUCGAGCCAAGGCCCUGACUGGCCACCUCAGCAUCAUCAAUGCUGACUAUGAACGUGCCUUCCAAGAUGCCUUCUGUCCAAGGCUCCCUGUCUGUAAAGAACCUCAGACCAGGCCAGAAAGCUCCCUGGAAAGAAUGGUGUCUGGUAUCCAAGCUGCACAGGGAAUCGUGGCAGGAAGUCAGGAGUCUGGGCCCUGCCAGAAAGACCUUUUUAUGGCUCUGGAGAGCAUUCUCGUCCUCACCAAGGAGGUGGCCCAGAGGGUCCCAGUGCUCCAAGAACACCCAGAGGAGUGGAGAAUGCACACCCUGGACUGGCUUCAGUGGGAGUGGGCAGCCAAGGCUCAUCAUGCCAUGGCCCAGCUCCAGGCCUGGAAGGGUGGUCACACCAAGGCCUGGAGACUCCUGGCCCAGUGCCUGAAGCCCAGUGAGGAGACAGCGGUGAUGAAACCCAGGGAUGAACAGAACCCUGCCCCGGCUCCACUGUGA
rnacentral:lncRNA from 1 species